CUCAGCACAAAACUUUCACUUGAGCCUGUCAGAUGCCCAGCACUAUGGGGGAAUAUAAAGAACACUAUACAGCACAAUACCAGUCCUCAUCUUAAAAGAAUUCACGGAACAUCAGACAUUGUGGUACAAAAAGGGGAACAAAAAGAAAAGCC